rnacentral:rRNA from 1 species
GACGAACGCUGGCGGCGUGCUUAACACAUGCAAGUCGAACGGAAAGGCCCUGCUUUUGUGGGGUGCUCGAGUGGCGAACGGGUGAGUAACACGUGAGUAACCUGCCCUUGACUUUGGGAUAACUUCAGGAAACUGGGGCUAAUACCGGAUAGGAGCUCCUGCUGCAUGGUGGGGGUUGGAAAGUUUCGGCGGUUGGGGAUGGACUCGCGGCUUAUCAGCUUGUUGGUGGGGUAGUGGCUUACCAAGGCUUUGACGGGUAGCCGGCCUGAGAGGGUGACCGGGCAAAUUGGGACUGGGAAACGGCCCAGACCCCUACGGGAGGCAGGAGGGGGGAAUAGUGGAAAAGGGGGGGAAGCCUGAAGCAGCAACGCCGGGGGGGGGAUGGCGGCCUUCGGGUUGUAAACCGCUUUCCCCUGGGACGAAGCGGGGGUGACGGUAAAGGGUAAAGAAGCACCGGCUAACUACG